GACGAACGCUGGCGGCGUGCUUAACACAUGCAAGUCGAACGAAGUGGCGAACGGGUGAGUAACGCGUAAUCAACCUGCCCUUCAGAGGGGGACAACAGUUGGAAACGACUGCUAAUACCGCAUACUGAAGGAGGGGAUUGCGUAUGAUUAUGUAGUUGAGGGGGUAACGGCCUACCAAGGCGAUGAUCAGUCGCCGGUCUUAGAGGAUGAACGGCCACAUUGGGACUGAGACACGGCCCAGAUGCCUACGGGAGGCAGCAGUGGGGAAUCUGCCGCAAGGGACGAAAGUCUGACGGAGCAACGCCGCGUGAGUGAUGACGGCCUUCGGGUUGUAAAGCUCUGUUAAUCGGGACGCGGUACCGGAAUAGAAAGCCACGGCUAACUACGUGCCAGCAGCCGCGGUAAUUC
rnacentral:rRNA from 1 species